GAUGAACGCUAGCGGCAGGCUUAACACAUGCAAGUCGAGGGGCAGCAUGAGACGGAGAUUCGUCGAAGUCUUGAUGGCGACCGGCGCAAGGGUGCGUAACGCGUGAGCAACUUGCCCGUUUCAGGGGGAUAACCGGUGGAAACGCCGACUAAUACCCCAUGGUGAUGCUAUGAGGCAUCUCAUUUCAUCUAAAGAGAUUCGGAAACGGAUAGGCUCGCGUGACAUUAGCUAGACGGCGGGGUAACGGCCCACCAUGGCGACGAUGUCUAGGGGUUCUGAGAGGAAGGUCCCCCACACUGGAACUGAGACACGGUCCAG
rnacentral:rRNA from 1 species